rnacentral:rRNA from 1 species
GACGAACGCUGGCGGCGUGCUUAACACAUGCAAGUCGAACGGGAAGGCCCUGCUUGCAGGGUGCUCGAGUGGCGAACGGGUGAGUAACACGUGGGUGCUCUGCCCCUUACUUUGGGAUAAGCCUGGGAAACUGGGUCUAAUACUGGAUAGGACCAUGCUGUAGGUGGUGUGGUGGAAAGAUUAGUUUCGGUAAGGGAUGAGCUCGCGGCCUAUCAGCUUGUUGGUGGGGUAAUGGCCUACCAAGGCGUCGACGGGUAGCCGGCCUGAGAGGGUGGACGGCCACAUUGGGACUGAGAGACGGCGCAGACUCCUACGGGAGGCAGCAGUGGGGAAUAUUGCACAAUGGGCGCAAGCCUGAUGCAGCGACGCCGCGUGGGGGAUGACGGCCUUCGGGUUGUAAACUCCUUUCAGCCAUGACGAAGCCCUUGUGGUGACGGUAGUGGUAGAAGAAGCACCGGCUAACUACGUG